GGGGAACGGAGGUGCAGUGAGAGGGCUGGGAGAUUGGAGCUGAUUGAGCACGGAACACGGGAUUACACAACCCUCAGACAAACAGGCCAUGCUCAGAUGAGAAGAAAGUGUUUGCUCCUCCGGCCCCUCUGAAGUGCUCCGAAGCACCAAAGCUACCUCCAGCUUUGGAAAAUGUGCUUUUCUCCGUGGGAGUCAGCAAAGUCAUGGUACUUCCCCUAAAGCAAUUUACCUAGACAGUAGACCACUCUUCUAGAUAUCAUCAACCCCUUCUCAGGACAAAAACUAGGCUCAUAAAGUGAAGAGGCUGGGGCGGCGCCUGUGGCUCAGUCGAACUAAGCUAAGGCUGGAUCCCCUCAAUCAAACCAAGGAUUCAAAUAUACAAAGCCUCACUCCUUAGAAAAGAUGGUCUAUUUCUCCAAUUUCCUUUCACUUCUAGGUGGCAGCCCUUCAUAUUUUCCAACGAAAAGAUUUGGGGAAUAAGGAAGCAUCUAGACAACCCACAUGUGCACUCUGCCUCCUCAAAACAGAGAAAGAACAGAGAAGGUAACCGUGAAGUUUCUCUAAAGGAGAUACAUGUACAUUUUGCAAACUGAUCCCUGAGAAUUUGGAGAUACUUUGAGGGUGGCUUCCUGGAGGUAACUGCUGGGAAUUGAAAAGGAUCGAGAACAUACGAUGAUGUUCCCAAGAAGCUGGAUUGAGCAUAGAAUAAGAGCCCUCAUUUUAAAAGCACAUAGAAAUAACAAAUAUAUUACUAAAUAUAUAACAUCAUGCUAAAAUAAUAUAGGGGCAUCUCUAUAGAUCAGAAACAGAAAAAAAAUCUGAAAAGUAGCAGUACACCAUCAGCGGUGUAUGUGCUGGGGGGAGGCAUGUAAUUAAUAUAGUUUAUAGGAGGUAAAAGAAUGA